UACGGGGGGAGCAAGCGUUGUUCGGAUUUACUGGGCGUAAAGGGCGCGUAGGCGGCGUGACAAGUCACUUGUGAAAUCUCCGGGCUUAACCCGGAAAGGUCAAUCGAUACUGCGGGGCUAGAGUGCAGAAGGGGCAACUGGAAUUCUCGGUGUAGCGGUGAAAUGCGUAGAUAUCGAGAGGAACACCUGCGGCGAAGGCGGGUUGCUGGGCUGAUACUGACGCUGAGGCGCGAAAGCCAGGGGAGCGAACGGG
rnacentral:rRNA from 1 species